AACCUCCGCAAUGUGAGAAAUCGCGACGGGGGGAUCCCAAGUGCCAUUCUUAACGGGAUGGCUUUUCUUAAGUGUAAAAAGCUUUUGGAAUAAGGGCUGGGCAAGACCGGUGCCAGCCGCCGCGGUAACACCGGCAGCUCUAGUGGUAGCAGUUUUUAUUGGGCCUAAAGCGUCCGUAGCCGGUUUAAUAAGUCUCUGGUGAAAUCCUGUAGCUUAACUGUGGGAAUUGCUGGAGAUACUAUUAGACUUGAGACCGGGAGAGGUUAGAGGUACUCCCAGGGUAGAGGUGAAAUUCUGUAAUCCUGGGAGGACCGCCUGUUGCGAAGGCGUCUAACUGGAACGGUUCUGACGGUGAGGGACAAAAGUUAGGGGCGCGAACCGGAUUAGAUACCCGGGUAGUCCUAACCGUAAACGAUGCGGACUUGGUGUUGGGGUGGCUUUGAGCUGCUCCAGUGCCGAAGGGAAGCUGUUAAGUCCGCCGCCUGGGAAGUACGGUCGCAAGACUGAAACUUAAAGGAAUU
rnacentral:rRNA from 1 species